AGUUAUCUUGUUUGCCCUUCCAAUCAACUGCAAUCCGCUGAUUAGGACUCCUCAUUAUUUGGUUUUGCGGAAAAGAAACUUGAUCCACAAUGAAUCCACAACAAAGAAUAUGAAAACCAUCUUGAUCCUACAUAACAUAAUCUGAUGCGGACACAUGGAUGACUCUGUAUCCCUCUGUCUUCAGUUCCUUCACCCUGGCUCGCAAGACCGUUUGUGACAUAUCUAAAAAUGAAGUAAAACAGGCAACUUUGUCUACAUGUGUGUUUCCAGAGCUCUGGUCCUCUACAUAAAACAAAGAUAUUUGUAUGCUACAUGCCAGCAUUUUGCUUAUACUCCACUCUUGUGAUGUCUAAACUUGUAGCCUAUAACACUCUGCUAAGACUGUAUCCAAAGUAAAUCAAAUGAUGUUUUUUUUUUGAAAAAUUUACAAACCAUACACAAAAUUACAAUAGAAAAUCAAU